rnacentral:ribozyme from 2 species
AUUUUAAUGUGGCUAGAAAAGCAGUGGCAAGCCUGUAUUAGACACAGAGCCUGAU